AAAAUGUUGUGUAUGCCUACUGUAGUCACUUAUCAUGAAACACCCGAAUAGCAGCCUUAAACUUAACUUAAACUUACUGAAUAAUAACUGUGAAGCUGCCCAAGUUUAGAGCCACCUGCUGCAUGUAGGGGAGCCAGGAAGGUAUUAUGGCUGUGUGACAGCAGUGAGGUUGCAGAAUGUUGGGCUGGGCAGCUUGUGAGGGUAACCACUGCAGCCCCACACCUUCCUGGUAGUGGGCAUGCUGGGGUAGACAUAAGUAAGAUGCCCGGGGUAAUCAAGUAAAUGUGGAGGCCAUGAGUCAUGACAGUGGGCACACUAUUGGGCGGAUGGGCACUGAGGUAAAGCUCUGGUAAGCCUUCUCCCUGGUAAACAAGAGUCAAGCUAAAAUCAAGACAUUAGAGUGAAGGGUUUGAAGCCGUUGUCAAGCCGUUUGAAUCAAGUCCUUGUUCUGGAGGACAAAGUUCAGCAUCAGCCCACUCCUAGGCUUGGGAACUUGCGGUGUGGCUAACGGUCAGUACGCAGGGGGGGGAGAAAAUCUGGCAACCCUCAUGACCCGGGCUGUGGUGAGUGCCUGCAUCGCUAUACCACUGACUCAGGUGCCCAUGGCUAAGUCCAAGCCCUUCUCUUGCAGGUUGCGGCAGGAUCUGCGGGGUGUUCGCUGCAUGCGGCGUCGGAUCUUCUGUCUCCAUGGAUGAUGCUUACAGGGUGAGUCUCUGGUGGCUCUCGGCCCAGGUGGGCGCACUGUAGAAGACAUUGCAGCUUGGUGAGAAGUGUUGCCCAAGGGUGGCUCACUAGCUUUGUCUCUGCCCCUCCCCGUCCACUUUCCUGGUCUUGCGUUGCUGCCUUAUUUCGGGCUUCCAGCUGUGCCCAGAACCGGGCAAAG